rnacentral:rRNA from 1 species
UCGGGAAACCGGAGCUAAUACCGGAUAAUAUUUUGUAACCGCAUGGUUCAAAAGUGAAAGACGGUCUUGCUGUCACUUAUAGAUGGAUCCGCGCUGCAUUAGCUAGUUGGUAAGGUAACGGCUUACCAAGGCAACGAUGCAUAGCCGACCUGAGAGGGUGAUCGGCCACACUGGAACUGAGACACGGUCCAG